AGAGUUUGAUCCUGGCUCAGAACGAACGCUGGCGGCAGGCUUAACACAUGCAAGUCGAACGGUUGUAGCAAUACAGCAGUGGCAGACGGGUGAGUAACACGUGGGAACCUUCCUAGGGGUACGGAACAACUCAGGGAAACUUGAGCUAAUACCGUAUACGUCCGUAAGGAGAAAGAUUUAUCGCCCCUAGACGGGCCCGCGUAGGAUUAGGUAGUUGGUGAGGUAACGGCUCACCAAGCCUACGAUCCUUAGCUGAUCUGAGAGGAUGAUCAGCCACACUGGGACUGAGACACGGCCCAGACUCCUACGGGAGGCAGCAGUGGGGAAUCUUGGACAAUGGGCGCAAGCCUGAUCCAGCCAUGCCGCGUGAGUGAAGAAGGCCUUCGGGUUGUAAAGCUCUUUUACCGGGGACGAUAAUGACGGUACCUGAGAAUAGGUGCAUGCG
rnacentral:rRNA from 1 species